AUGCUCCGCGGCAAGGAGGAGGAGGUUGAGAAGCUCGUCAUGGUGUGGACCCAGGAACUAGAGCAGAAGCACAUGGAGGCGCUCGAUGCCCAAGCCCUGGUCCAUGCCGGCAGAGUGAAGGAGCUGGAGGUGGAGCGGGAUGACCUAAAGAAACAGCUCCUGGAGCUGGUGAAGGGGAAAGACACGCUCAAUGGCGCCUUGGUGGAGGCGCAGGCCGUUGUCCUCGGCAAAGCCGAGUUGCUCUCCAAGGCCAAUGACUCCAUCAACGACCUGAAGCUGAAGUUGGAGGGUAUUGAGGGGACGCUUUCGGAGGUCAAGGCCCGGGAAGAGACCCUGACCAAGGACCUUGAGGAGGAGAGGCAGCUGUGGAGAAUGACGCCGCCAACCACGAGGAUUACGUGA
rnacentral:rRNA from 1 species